rnacentral:misc_RNA from 1 species
GGAGAAGGGAAAGGUGGGAAAGGUUUUAUUAAAAAGAGUGUUAUAAUUUUUUUUUACCAGAAAAUUAAAUCUUUGUUAAAAGCAAAUAGACAAUAAAGAAAAGAGGAGAUUUUUCUGGGGUUUGGAGAAUAGAACAAAAGAAAAGACAGAAAGUGCAACGUCAGAGUUCAGCCUUAGGGUUCCCUUUGGUUUUGUGUGGU